rnacentral:rRNA from 1 species
AUUGAACGCUAACGGUAUGCUUAACACAUGCAAGUCGAACGGCAGCACAGCAGUAGCAAUACUGUGGGUGGCGAGUGGCGGACGGGUGAGUAAUACAUAGGAAUCUGCCUUGUAGUGGGGGAUAACCCGGGGAAACUCGGGCUAAUACCGCAUAAUCUUUACGAAGCAAAGUGGGGGACCGUAAGGCCUCACGCUAUAAGAUGAGCCUAUGUCGGAUUAGCUAGUUGGUAGGGUAAAGGCCUACCAAGGCGACGAUCCGUAGCUGGUCUUAGAGGAUGAUCAGCCACGCUGGGACUGAGACACGGCCCAGACUCCUACGGGAGGCAGCAGUGGGGAAUUUUGGACAAUGGGGGGCAACCCUGAUCCAGCCAUGCCGCGUGAGUGAAGAAGGCCUCGGUUGUAAGACGUCUUUCGGUACGAGAAAGAAAUACGCACAGGA